rnacentral:rRNA from 1 species
GACGAACGCUGGCGGCGUGCUUAACACAUGCAAGUCGAACGGUAAGGCCCUUCGGGGUACACGAGUGGCGAACGGGUGAGUAACACGUGGGUGAUCUGCCCUGCACUUCGGGAUAAGCCUGGGAAACUGGGUCUAAUACCGGAUAGGACCACUGCCUGCAUGGGUGGUGGUGGAAAGCUUUUGCGGUGUGGGAUGGGCCCGCGGCCUAUCAGCUUGUUGGUGGGGUGAUGGCCUACCAAGGCGACGACGGGUAGCCGGCCUGAGAGGGUGACCGGCCACACUGGGACUGAGAUACGGCCCAGACUCCUACGGGAGGAAGCAGUGGGGAAUAUUGGACAAUGGGCGCAAGCCUGAUGCAGCGACGCCGCGUGAGGGAUGACGGCCUUCGGGUUGUAAACCUCUUUCAGCACCGACGAAGCGCAAGUGACGGUAGGUGCAGAAGAAGGACCGGCCAACUACGUGCCAGCAGCCGCCGCCG